UACGGAGGGUGCAAGCGUUAUCCGGAUUCACUGGGUUUAAAGGGUGCGUAGGCGGUCAGAUAAGUCAGUGGUGAAAGCCCGCGGCUCAACCGUGGAAUAGCCAUUGAAACUGCCUGACUUGAAUUCAGUUGAAGUGGAUGGAAUACAUCAUGUAGCGGUGAAAUGCUUAGAUAUGAUGUAGAACACCAAUUGCGAAGGCAGUUCACUAAGCUGUGAUUGACGCUGAGGCACGAAAGCGUGGGGAGCGAACAGG
rnacentral:rRNA from 1 species